rnacentral:rRNA from 1 species
UGGGGAAUAUUGCACAAUGGGCGCAAGCCUGAUGCAGCGACGCCGCGUGGGGGAUGACGGCCUUCGGGUUGUAAACUCCUUUCGCCAGGGGCGAAGCGUUUUGUGACGGUACCUGGAGAAGAAGCACCGGCUAACUACGUGCCAGCAGCCGCGGUAAUACGUAGGGUGCAAGCGUUGUCCGGAAUUACUGGGCGUAAAGAGCUCGUAGGUGGUUUGUCACGUCGUCUGUGAAAUUCCACAGCUUAACUGUGGGCGUGCAGGCGAUACGGGCUGACUUGAGUACUGUAGGGGUAACUGGAAUUCCUGGUGUAGCGGUGAAAUGCGCAGAUAUCAGGAGGAACACCGAUGGCGAAGGCAGGUUACUGGGCAGUUACUGACGCUGAGGAGCGAAAGCAUGGGUAGCAAACAGGAUUAGAUACCCUGGUAGUCCAUGCCGUAAACGGUGGGCGCUAGGUGUAGGGGCCUUUUGGGGUUUCUGUGCCGUAGCUAACGCAUUAAGCGCCCCGCCUGGGGAGUACGGCCGCAAGGCUA